rnacentral:lncRNA from 1 species
CCAGCAAGAGGGAAAGCAGGGCCAGCUCUGUCUCUCUUCCUGUGAACCUCCCUCACUGAUAACCUGGACUUGUCCCCAGAUCCCAGGCACCCUCUGCCUUUUCUGCUCCUCCGUGUCAACAGCUGCUGAAGUCAAACCCCCGAUUCUCUUACCUACCUCUCCUCACCCCAGUGUGCUGCUAGCCCCCUCCUCCCUGCACUUGCCCAGAGGCCUCCAGACAGAGGGCGAUGCAAGGGAGCUGGUGAAGACUUGCCUUCUCUCCGCCAUGGUCGCCAGCACCAAGUAUGAAGUGGCCGCUCAGAACGAGGCAGACGAGGCAGAUGGCUCUGCUCAGGGGGAUGGGGCAGGCCCUGCGGCUGAGCAGGUCUCUUAACCUUCAUUAACUGUGCCUAUGUCAAGUGGGGAACCCUGGUCCAAGAUAUUUUCACCUACGCUAAAGUGUUGGCGCUGAUUGCGGUCAUCAUUGCGGGAAUUGUUAGACUUGGCCAGGGAGCCACAACUAACUUUGAGGACUCCUUUGAGGGCUCAUCGUUUGCAAUGGGUGACAUUGCCCUGGCACUAUACUCAGCUUUGUUCUCCUACUCUGGCUGGGACACCCUUAACUAUGUCACUGAAGAGAUCAGAAAUCCCGAGAGGAACUUGCCCCUCUCCAUUGGCAUUUCCAUGCCCAUCGUCACCAUCAUCUACCUCUUGACCAAUGUGGCCUAUUACAGUGUGCUAGACAUAAAGGACAUCU